UACAGAGGUCCCAAGCGUUGUUCGGAUUCACUGGGCGUAAAGGGCGCGUAGGCGGAUAGUUUAGUCAGAGGGGAAAGCCCAGGGCUCAACCUUAGAAUUGCCUUUGAUACUGAAGAUCUUGAGUUCGGGAGAGGUGAGUGGAACUGCGAGUGUAGAGGUGAAAUUCGUAGAUAUUCGCAAGAACACCAGUGGCGAAGGCGGCUCACUGGCCCGAUACUGACGCUGAGGCACGAAAGCGUGGGGAGCAAACAGG
rnacentral:rRNA from 1 species